rnacentral:rRNA from 1 species
UACAGAGGGUGCUGGCGUUGUUCGGAAUCAUUGGGCGUAAAGGGCGUGUAGGCGGUUUGUUAAGUCAUGUGUGAAAUCCCUCGGCUCAACCGGGGAACGACGCAUGAAACUGGCAAGCUAGAGUACCAAAGAGGGGGGUGGAAUUCCCGGUGUAGCGGUGAAAUGCGUAGAUAUCAGGAGGAACACCGGUGGCGAAGGCGGAUCUCUGGGCCUUACCUGACGCUGAGGCACGAAAGCGUGGGGAGCGAACAGG